GCUUUCGUGGUGUAAUGGUCAGCACACUGAGCCGGUAUUUCAGAGGUCCGUGGUUCGAUCCCCGGCAAAGGAA
rfam:Stegodyphus mimosarum contig72955, whole genome shotgun sequence.